GUCACCCAAGCCACCCGACGCGUCUUUGUGCGCGCCCCACGGUGGCGAUUGGUAUCGCAAAGAUCCGACCGCAAUUCAGCAUCCUUCAUUUCUUCCCGUGUCGUGCCAUCGUGUGUAAGUGUCCGAUAUUGCAGCCGAUUGACGCUCCGUCUCCGCACGUCAGCGUUUCUUUGUUAGAUUAAGUAGGCAUUAUUUUAUUGGGCCGGUCCUCCGCCGAUAUCUGUAAUAUUUUUAUUGUAUGAUCGAAUUUUACCGCUAAACGUGCUUUCGGUGAUCGGAUUGUAUUUGCCCGAUAAUACUCAUCGCAUCAUUAGUGUAUUAGAAAUGCAGCUAUUUCAAUUCACGCGUAUUUCGGGGUAGCAAACAGAAUUGAACACGGGGCAAACUCUCAUCGGUUGCGUGAAGUACUUUGACCGGGAAAACGUGUCGCCGCCCAUAUCGUGGAAGUCGUUGACAACCUCGAUCUCGUCUUCGCUUCGGCCAUCAUGGCGUCGAUAGCGUCAUAGCGACACAGACGACCUCAACCCGGGCAAUUAAAAAGCAGACGAUACAUAUUUUACACAAUUCAAUCCAACUUCCCUGUUGAAGACUUCCGGGGUCCUUGAAAAUUCACUAGCCGAUCGAUUCUACCUGCUAUGGAUGAAAAACGUGAAUCAAGACGACUGCAGGUCCAAUACACCUAUGGUUCGAUGAACAUCAUCGAUCACGUAUAAUCUGAUUGUCGGAUACGCGUUAAACGGUUCCAAAAUCGAUUGGACGAUGAAGACAAUUACAAAUAUUGGAUUAAUGAAGUAGUGAAUACACACUCUAACAGAACACUCGCGUGCGGAGUUACGUGUCGUUGAUUUGCUACAAUAUCGGACACGAAUAUGCGAUGGCGCGGCGCGGGAGGAAUAAACAAACGUCAGUCCGGUCGAUGCGGCACCAUUCAGGGUGGCUGGCGACCGUACAGCCUAUCAUUACAAUUGACUACUACACAGAUUUUAUUGGAAUAUUUGCUAUGAGUCAAAUGAAAAAGAAAAACAUCAUCUUCCUACUAUUCAGUUUUGUUUUUCAAAAUGAACCAUGUCAACAUAAUCUACAAAAUAUUAUGUUUGAUAAUAAAUUUAAAAUAGAAGAAUUACGGAGUCCAUGUUAUGCGAUGAAAUAAUUUUAUUCCACAUCCAAUGGCAUAACGACAAGUACAGCAGUAAAAUUUUAUUUAUUUAUUUAUUAAGUUAAAACUAUUUAUCAACUAAACCUACAAUAAAUUAAUGGUCAAUGAUUAAAUAAGUACAUGCCUAAUGUGGUCAUACCUUUAUAUUUAAGUAUUGAAAUAUGAAAAACUUUUUUUUUAUUAUCUAUUAUAAAACAUUUUUCAUUAACUGUGUUUAAGAUAAGAAUGUAUUUUGGUGACAUUCAAUUAAAUCCAUUUAUAAACUAAUAGGACUACAUUACAUUUUCUCAUCUUCAGUUUGUGAAUAUUAUUAAUUUACUGAUUGUUGUCAAAAAAAGUCUGUAACUACAAAAAAUA